UACGUAGGGUGCAAGCGUUGUCCGGAAUUAUUGGGCGUAAAGAGCUCGUAGGCGGUUUGUCGCGUCGGGAGUGAAAUCCACUGGCUUAACUGGUGGCUUGCUUUCGAUACGGGCAGACUGGAGGUAUGCAGGGGAGAACGGAAUUCCUGGUGUAGCGGUGAAAUGCGCAGAUAUCAGGAGGAACACCGGUGGCGAAGGCGGUUCUCUGGGCAUGUCCUGACGCUGAGACGCGAAAGCGUGGGGAGCGAACAGG
rnacentral:rRNA from 1 species